rnacentral:rRNA from 1 species
GAGUUUUGAACGGGUUGUUGCUGGCCUCGUACGGGGCAUGUGCACGCCUGACUUCAUCCACUCUUCAACCUCUGUGCACUUAUUGUAGGCUAGUGUGAAAGGUUGCAUUUAUUUGCGACUGGAAGCCUGUCUACGUUUUACUACAAACGCUUCAGUUAUAGAAUGUUUAUCUGCGUAUAACGCAUUUAUAUACAACUUUCAGCAACGGAUCUCUUGGCUCUCGCAUCGAUGAAGAACGCAGCGAAAUGCGAUAAGUAAUGUGAAUUGCAGAAUUCAGUGAAUCAUCGAAUCUUUGAACGCACCUUGCGCUCCCUGGUAUUCCGGGGAGCAUGCCUGUUUGAGUGUCAUGGAAUUCUCAACCUCUAAUACUUUUUUGUAUCAGAAGCUUGGAUUUGGAGGCUUGUGCUGGCUCUAACGAGUCCGGCUCCUCUUAAAUGAAUUAGCGUGAAUCACUAUGGAUCGCUUCGGUGUGAUAAUUAUCUGCGCCGUGGUCGUGAAGUAUUAAUCAAGUUCUCGCUUCUAAUCGUCCUUCACGGGACAAUUAACCCUGACUUUUGACCUCAAAUCAGGUAGGACUACCCGCUGAACUUAAGCAUAUCAAUAAGCGGAGGAAAAGAAACUAACAAGGAUUCCCCUAGUAACUGCGAGUGAAGCGGGAAAAGCUCAAAUUUAAAAUCUGGUAGCCUUUGGUUGCCCGAGUUGUAGUCUGGAGAAGCGUCUUCCGCGC